AUAAGACACACUAAUCCUUAAAGCUAAAAGGUUUAGGAAGGACCCUUGUUUUCUGCGUAUGUUUUGAGUUGGCUCUUCGUAUAUUAUAGUGCACAGGAUCCAGUACUGUCCAAUACUGGAAUACUCUUUCCAUGCCCUGUACUGUCAAAUGCAAACCAAAAAACUUCCUGUGAUUAUCAAAAAAUGGAGGAGAAGAACAUUUCCCAGGAUCAUCAUGUUCCAACCACAGCUGACAUAAUUAGACUGACCCCAAAAGGUAGUCCACGCUUUGGAUCUUUGAGUCAUCAUUCUUUCUUCUCUCGCCACAACCCUCAUCCGCACAGAGUGACACACAUUCCAGGUCUUAAUGGAAAGCCAGUGUGUAUGGUGAAUGAUGACUGGUAUAUGGCAACGUCCUUAUUUCCUCAUCCACUUAUUAAGAGUCAAGUAUUUAGGACAACUACAGGGGCGCCAUUUGCCCUGCCUUUUGGACACUGUUCAUAUGGAGGUACAAGUGCAAAACACAGGGCAGCACUGUUAUCAGAGGCCUGGAAAGAGGAGCUUAAAGAGCUGGCGGCCAAAGUCAAUAUUUCUUCCCAAAUAAAAGAUGUCAAGAAAGAG